rnacentral:rRNA from 1 species
GAUGAACGCUGGCGGCGUGCCUAAUACAUGCAAGUCGAGCGAACAGACGAGGAGCUUGCUCCUCUGACGUUAGCGGCGGACGGGUGAGUAACACGUGGAUAACCUACCUAUAAGACUGGGAUAACUUCGGGAAACCGGAGCUAAUACCGGAUAAUAUAUUGAACCGCAUGGUUCAAUAGUGAAAGACGGUUUUGCUGUCACUUAUAGAUGGAUCCGCGCCGCAUUAGCUAGUUGGUAAGGUAACGACUUACCAAGGCAACGAUGCGUAGCCGACCUGAGAGGGUGAUCGGCCACACUGGAACUGAGACACGGUCCAGACUCCUACGGGAGGCAGCAGUAGGGAAUCUUCCGCAAUGGGCGAAAGCUUGACGGAGCAACGCCGCGUGAGUGAUGAAGGUCUUCGGAUCGUAAAACUCUGUUAUUAGGGAAGAACAAAUGUGUAAGUAACUAUGCACGUCUUGACGGUACCUAAUCAGAAAGCCACGGCUAACUACGUG